rnacentral:lncRNA from 1 species
AAAACAAAACCAUGUAUUUUUCUAGAGAAUUUCAGCGCAUGGCUAUUACACCAUCUCUUCAGCCCACCAUCCCUCAUUUCUCAAUUCAGUUCUGAGUACCCGACUUGAGAUGCUGCCAACUCUUUUUGGAAUGAGGUGUUUUCUUUUUUUAUUACAAAGCAAACAUUUCACUGUGGUCCCAAGGCCCUCUGGAUGGACUUCACUAUUUUAAGCCAAGCCCCAGCACUUUCCAAGACUAUUUAUAAAUUUUGCUCAUCCAGCCAUUUUCUUACUGGAAUUAUCUUGCAGUCCAACCUGAUCAUCAUGUAACAAAUUCUUAAAUUUAAUUCCACUUACCUUCGGAUUUUGCUGAAUGGACUAUGAUUUGGUGGCACUAGGACAGUUCCAACAAAUGAUUAUCACCAGAUAUAGAUUAGGAUGUACUUUUAAUAAAUACAAUAGUGGAAUGAUUAAAAUAUGGAAUGCUCAAUCAAAUUGAGCACAAUGGGGACUACCAGAGGCUGGGUGGUGGCAACCGCAGGGUACAAAAUUUCAGUUAAGAGGAAUAAACUUUCAGGACCUACUGCACAGCAUGGUGACUGGAGUUAAUAGUUAAUAAUAAUGUAUUGUAUAUUUCAAAAUCGCUAAAAGUGUGGAUGUAGCUCAGUGGUGGAACACUUGUUCAGCAUGAUCGAGGCCCUGGGUUCAAUUUCUAGUAACAAAAACAAUGACAACACCCACCCCCCACCAAGGAAAUUGCUAAAAGGGUAACCUUUAAAUACAAAAACGAAACAAAACACCACACAAAAUUAUAAAGUCUGCAGGGUGGUGAUAUGUUAAUUAGCUUGUCCUCUUCACUGCAUAAUGCAUACAUAGAUCACAUCACAUUGUAUCCCACAAAUACAAAAAAUUAUUUGUCAAAUAAAAAAUAAAAAAUUGAAAAGCAAGGCUUGGGGAAGAAUUUUACAUUCAUCAGUUAUUUAUUUAACCAAACAUUAACUGAAGGCCUCUUAGUUGCCUGAGACUGCUCAGUGGGUAAGUCACAGCCCUGGCCUCAGGGUCUCCCAGCCUGAGAGCUGAAGGGACCAGACUCCUACAGAGUUAUUAUGCAUCUUCCCCAGGAUCACAAACUGUGCCACACACAGCAGGCGCUCAAGAAAUAUCUG